rnacentral:misc_RNA from 1 species
GGUAGACAUAACUAGGAUCUUGAAUUUUGAUGACAAUCCAUGAUUUGACAUACUUAUGCCAUGCAUCAUAAUAAGCUUCUAAGUUCUUGUUGAUCGUCUCUAGCUGUGGAUCAACAGCUUUGACAACUUCAGGUGGAAGGGGUUUGAAACCAAGCAUCCAUCCUUCAAACAGAAUUACCGGUAGAGGUCCUUCAACCUCUGGCCAUUCGGAGGGAUCAGCUCUGUCACCUCUACCACUGUAAGCAGAUUUAUCAUAUCUUGGAAGCUUCACCUUCACACCUUCUUUUGUCAAUUUACUUAGUGCUGUCAGAGUCUCAACAGAAAAUGGAAGAUCAUGGCUUCCAGCAUUUCCACGAAACUCCAAAAGCAAGUUCCCUGGGUUGCUGUCUCUUAGUUUUGCCUGUUCUUCCGCUGUUAAGUAAAAAUCAUCAAUGGAUACUGUCGCAGCUUUCCUCCCUGUGAUUUUAAAAAGAUAUUCUAAUGCGAAUACUAGUGUUGUUUUUCCACA